rnacentral:sRNA from 1 species
CCGCAGAACUGCUCGCGCCAUAUACCGGAGAUAUUGCGGCCGAAGGCGUCAGUAAAGCCCUGCGUGGGGGGAUGAAGUUUUUGCAGCAUGGGCUGGCGCGCCAGCAGCGAUAUGUGGCUGAAACGCUCACUGAAGAGUGGCGUCUUGCGCCGGGUGCAUUAGAAGUGGCCUGGUUUGCUGAAGAAGCGAUGGCCGUGGAGCGAGAGCUUGCAGCCCUCACCAAACGGCUGGAAAAACUGGAGGAGAAAUGA